rnacentral:rRNA from 1 species
UGUCUUUUUGAAAAUAAUAUAAAGUCUAAUCUGCCCACUGAUUUAAUAUUAAAGGGCUGCAGUAUAUUGACUGUACAAAGGUAGCAUAAUCAUUAGUCAUUUAAUUGAUGACUUGUAUGAAGGAUUGGAUGAAAUAUAAACUGUCUCUUAAUUAUAUUUAGAAUUUAAUUUUUUAAUUAAAAAGUUAAAAUGAAUUAAAAAGACGAGAAGACCCUAUAGAGUUUUAUAAUUAAAUUAAUUGAGAUUUUUUGUAAGAUUAAAAUUAAAAUUAAUUUAUUUAUUUUGUUGGGGUGACAGAAAAAUAUGGAGAACUUUUUUUAUAUUAUUACAUAAAUAAGUGAAUAGAUGAUCCAAUAUUAUUGAUUAUAAGAAAAAAUUACCUUAGGGAUAACAGCGUAAUUUUUUUUUUUAGUUCAUAUAAAAAAAAAAGUUUGCGACCUCGAUGUUGGAUUAAGAUAAAAUUUAAAUGCAGAAG